rnacentral:rRNA from 1 species
UACGUAGGGUGCGAGCGUUGUCCGGAAUUAUUGGGCGUAAAGGGCUCGUAGGCGGUUUGUCGCGUCGGGAGUGAAAACACUGGGCUUAACUCAGUGCCUGCUUUCGAUACGGGCAGACUAGAGGCAUGCAGGGGAGAACGGAAUUCCUGGUGUAGCGGUGAAAUGCGCAGAUAUCAGGAGGAACACCGGUGGCGAAGGCGGUUCUCUGGGCAUGUCCUGACGCUGAGGAGCGAAAGUGUGGGGAGCGAACAGG